rnacentral:lncRNA from 1 species
AAAGCUUACCUUCAAGAGAACCAUCAUUUCAUGUAAAGCCCUUGACGAAGGCUUCCAUGCUGACACCUGAAUACUAUUACAUUAAGUGACCAAGACUCCAGAAGGUGUGUAUUUUUAAGUAGAUUUCUCGAGUUUUAUCUUUGAAAAGUUAUCAUUAGCUAUCUUUUGUUCCUUCAAUGUAGGCUGAUUAAUUACAAGCCCAGUUAAAUCUUAAGGCAUUAGAAGUCAACAGUUUUGUUUUGGAGUUAUGUGUGCAACCUUCAUCUGUUCAUGGAAUACUUUUUUUCAUGUUCGUUGAUCUUCAAAGGCCCUCAAUGAGUAGACUCUGACAGAUACAAUUAGCUGUAUAGGAUAUAUUAUGUUUUGG